UGGCUUGUGACGAUUCAGAUACGAAAGGAUCCGAGCGGAUUUCUGUGAGGCGAUUCUGUCGUCCAAGAUCGCUUGAAGUUGUUACACACACUGAAGCUU
rnacentral:snoRNA from 1 species